UACGCCAAGAGACACACUUCUGCUUUAAAGUAGCGCGUGCAAACUGAUGUUUAACAUUUCAUUUCCUCCUUUGAUAAAGACUAUUUUCUGCAGUAAAAGUACUUCAUUCUGACAAUACUCCACUUCACUACAAGUCCUGCAAAACUCAGACGGAGCGAUGCUUUGCUCCUGGGCGAUGGCGGACAUUUCUUUGAGGAAUUCGGCGAACAUCACGAUGGCGAAGACUCUGUUUUUGGCCUGCGUUGGGAUGGGGGGGCAUGGCGGCAGAAUGACAUCCCCCUCCUGAGACUGGAAACUCUCUGACACACGGAGGGGACAGUGAACGCACCAGUAAGCUUCAGCCAGCAGGAACCUCCAGGCCUGAGUGAGCAGAGCGGGGAAAUCAGAGUGUGCGCACGUUGUGUGUGUGUGUGUGUGUGUUGAGCAGGAAGUCUCUCAGCAGAGGUUGAGGGUACGACGCCAGCUGAGACAGGAUUCCCG